rnacentral:rRNA from 1 species
GACAGAGGGGGCAAGCGUUGCUCGGAAUUACUGGGCGUAAAGGGCGCGUAGGCGGAAUGGCAAGUCGGUCGUGAAAUCCUUCGGCUCAACCGAAGAACGUCGAUCGAAACUGCCGUUCUUGAGGAUUGCAGAGGAGACUGGAAUUCCCGGUGUAGCGGUGAAAUGAUGUAGAGAUCGGGAGGAACACCGGUGGCGAAGGCGGGUCUCUGGGCCGAUACUGACGCUGAGGAGCGAAAGCGUGGGGAGCGAACAGG